CUUCUUGUGAUGAGAAUACUGUCCAGUUCUGCUACUGAAGGAAGGAGAUGACUACUAUAGUGCUGAAGAAG
ensembl:snoRNA Snord38a small nucleolar RNA SNORD38